AGCUUCGGGAUCACCGCCACAUCAUACAUCAGAUUUUAAGAUGUUGAUCUAUGGAAUGAAGCACUGCCUGAUGGGAAACAAAAAGAUGGUUCUAUCUCCGCAGCCUCAACUGCACCAGAGAGAGUUCAAAGAAGUACAGUUAGUUAUUUCUAUUCAACAUGGUCCCGAAAACGGAUGAUUUUGUUGAUGAAAGGCCUCUCAUGGUGAUAUCUAU